AGGACGAACGCUGGCGGCGUGCCUAACACAUGCAAGUCGAACGGGGGUAGCAAUACCCCAGUGGCGAACGGGUGCGUAACACGUGAAGAACUUGUCCAUCGGCGGGGGAUAGCCGGCCCAACGGCCGGGUAAUACCGCGUACGCCGUCUGAAGCGCAUGCUUCGGCCGGGAAAGCAGCAAUGCACCGAUGGAGAGCUUCGCGGCCUAUCAGCUAGUUGGCGGGGUAAUGGCCCACCAAGGCGACGACGGGUAGCUGGUCUGAGAGGAUGACCAGCCACAUUGGGACUGAGACACGGCCCAGACUCCUACGGGAGGCAGCAGUGGGGAAUAUUGCGCAAUGGGGGAAACCCUGACGCAGCGACGCCGCGUGUGGGAUGACGGCCUUCGGGUUGUAACCACUGUCGCGAGGGACGAAAAAAAUGACGGUACCUCGAAAGGAAGCACCGGCUAACUCUGUGCCAGCAGCCGCC
rnacentral:rRNA from 1 species